UACAGAGGGGGCAAGCGUUGUUCGGAAUUACUGGGCGUAAAGGGCGCGUAGGCGGCCUGCUAAGUCGAACGUGAAAUCCCCGGGCUCAACCCGGGAACUGCGUCCGAUACUGGCAGGCUUGAAUUCGGGAGAGGGAUGCGGAAUUCCAGGUGUAGCGGUGAAAUGCGUAGAUAUCGAGAGGAACACCAGAGGUGAAGACGGGUUGCUGGGCUGACACUGACGCUGAGGCGCGAAAGCCAGGGGAGCAAACGGG
rnacentral:rRNA from 1 species